rnacentral:rRNA from 1 species
GAUGAACGCUGGCGGCGUGCCUAACACAUGCAAGUCGAGCGAUUUACUUCGGUAAAGAGCGGCGGACGGGUGAGUAACGCGUGGGUAACCUGCCCUAUACACACGGAUAACAUACCGAAAGGUAUGCUAAUACGAGAUAAUAUAAGAGAUUCGCAUGGAUUUCUUAUCAAAGCUGAGGCGGUAUAGGACGGACCCGCGUCUGAUUAGCUAGUUGGUAAGGUAACGGCUUACCAAGGCGACGAUCAGUAGCCGACCUGAGAGGGUGAUCGGCCACAUUGGAACUGAGACACGGUCCAAACUCCUACGGGAGGCAGCAGUGGGGAAUAUUGCACAAUGAGCGAAAGCCUGAUGCAGCAACGCCGCGUGAGUGAUGAAGGCCUUCGGGUCGUAAAACUCUGUCCUCAAGGAAGAUAAUGACGGUACUUGAGGAGGAAGCCCCGGCUAACUACGUGCCAGCCGCCGCGGUAAAAC